CCUACGGGAGGCAGCAGCGGGGAAUAUUGCGCAAUGGGCGAAAGCCUGACGCAGCAACGCCGCGUGAGGGAUGAAGGCUCUCGGGUUGUAAACCUCUUUCAGCAGGGACGAUUGUGACGGUACCUGCAGAAGAAGCUCCGGCCAACUACGUGCCAGCAGCCGCGGUAAU
rnacentral:rRNA from 1 species